rnacentral:rRNA from 1 species
GAUGAACGCUGGCGGCGUGCCUAAUACAUGCAAGUCGAGCGAACAGACGAGGAGCUUGCUCCUUCGACGUUAGCGGCGGACGGGUGAGUAACACGUAGGUAACCUACCUAUAAGACUGGGAUAACUUCGGGAAACCGGAGCUAAUACCGGAUAAUAUUUCGAACCGCAUGGUUCGAUAGUGAAAGAUGGCUUUGCUAUCACUUAUAGAUGGACCUGCGCCGUAUUAGCUAGUUGGUAAGGUAACGGCUUACCAAGGCAACGAUACGUAGCCGACCUGAGAGGGUGAACGGACACAGUGGGACUGAGGCAGGGCCCAGACUGCGAAGGGAGGCAGGAGGGGGGAAUAGUGCAAAAUGGGAGGAAGUGUGAAGCAGCAACGCCGGGUGAGGGACGACGGACUUCGGGUUGUAAACAUAGUUUAGCAGGGAAGAAGCGAAAGUGAGGGUACCUGAUGAAAAAGCGCCGGCUAACUACGUG